UUUGUUCGUUCAAAUUAGGAAAUCAAGGCCAAGGGAGAUGUCAUGGCUAUGGGCUGAAGCUUUGAGAAAAAGAGAAUGAAAAAUGAAAUGUUGAUGAGUUUCCAAUUUCAAAAGUCUACCUAAAGCUCUAUUGUUUGUUUAACUCAAAGGUAAAAAAAAGUAAAGUAUGUGGACUUGCACCGAAUAGAGCCAUGGAAUUGGUGCAAGGAUUUGAUCAAGAGGCUGCUGCAGUUGUUGUGGCAAGAUUAACUUCAUAAAAAAUGGAGAUGGAGGUUCAACCGGAGUCGACAACUUCAUGAGUUUUCUUUCAAAGAACAUUUUCA